UUUGUUUUUAGUGGUUUCCCUCUGCACUCAUGUACAAAUCAGGUUAUUCUAAAGCAGUGGAUCUCAACCUGGGUCCACAGGUGUUUUUGGCCUUCAACUCCUAGAAAUCCUAACAGCUGGUAAACUGGCGGGGAUUUCUGGGAGCUAUAGGCCAAAAGCAUCUUGGGACCCCAGGUUGAGAACUACUGUUCUAAAGCUUGCUAGCAAAUCAGGUUAGGAACUGAAUCUGACUCAAUCAAACCUGAUGGACACAUACAAUACUAGGUAACAAUAGGAAAUGUGACCUUGUUCUUUCAUCCCCUUCAUAUUUGGGUGGAGUUCCUUGAGGAGAAAUAUAUCAACGUGUGACUGGCUAUGUCUGGAAGACUGAUACCAAAAGAAGGCAUCUGAAAACUGCUACUCCAUACCAUUGCCUGCAUUUUGAAAUAUUUUGUAUCUACAUGGGUGAGCUCCAUUUAAAAUUAUAAAUGGGUCAUAGUCAGUGUGCUGAAGACACCCAAUUCUUCAAGUUGGCAUACUGGGGUUCCUUGUGGGCUUUGCAUGCUUCUAGCCAGAUACCAGUUGUGAUGCUGAAGAUGAAGUACCUUUCCCCUUUACCAGGUUCACCUGAUGUGGAAGCUUCAUCCAUUUCUUGAAUAAAUCAGACCAAGCAUAUCUUUGCCACAUCCAAAUUAGGCUACACAUUUGAGGAUGCCUUUGAAAUUAUUGGGAAAUAUGGUCAAAACGCAUCUGCCAGAUUGGUGAGUGGAUUUUAUAAGGUAUCAUUCUCUUAUGUGAGAUGUAAGAAGAGUUCUGCUGGAAUAGGCAAAAGGUCUAACAGAUGCAUCUUCCAACAUAUACUGCUUAGUAACUGGGAAUAACAUAAUCAUAUGUCAUCAUUAGAAGCUACCGAUAGCUUUAUACUCUGUGAUAUUUUUCCCAAUUUAAUGGUUGUGGCAGUUUUGACUUUUAAAACUCUCAACACGUCCAGGAACGGCCUCCUCCAUACAAAUAAAACUAGUGAGCUCAUUCUUUGCACUGUACAACAUGCUAUUCUAUCAUUGCAAGUGCUAGAUUUUUAAAAUUAUCAUCAUCAUCAUCAUUUUUUAUCUGCAGUUGAUUGAAUCCACAUAAUUGGAGUCUGUGGAUACAGAAGACUCACUGCACAUUUUAAAAGUAAAUAUACAAUAAACAGUGUCACUGGUAUGGAAUGUA